rnacentral:pre_miRNA from 1 species
UUACAGACAAAAAUAUAAAUAACAAAGAAAUAAACGCCUUGUACCUACAGUACAAAGAAUUGGAAUCAAGUUGGGAAAUAUAAGCACCAUACCUGCCUAUUAUGAACAUACUCCAGAUACGAAGGGACAUCUGGAUAACGCAUUUGAGUGUCACUAUCAGGUAUAGGUGAUUUUU